UUACAUUGGCAUUCAAGGCUUUUUAAAAAUUCAGCCCAUAAAAUAAUCUCAACUUUACUUCCCAACCACCACUCGUUCUAAGGUAUUGUCAGCUUGAGUUACUUCAGUGUUUACCACACAUUAGUCCUGUUCUGUAGUGUUUAAAAGCUUUUGCUACAUUUAGAUUGCAACAAUAUUCCUAAUAGUCAAGAUAUGGAAUCUAUUAAGGCGUCCACCAGUAGGUGAACAGAUUAAGAAAAUGUGGUAUUGAUAUGUAAUGAAAUUAUUGACUCAAAGGAAGUGAAUAAAAUCCCCUCUCAUUUGCAGUACUAGAGGACACCAUAUUGAGUGAAAUAAGCCAGAAGCAGAAAGAAAAAUGCCACAUGUUCUUUCACACAUUUUAUAUAUUCUUUGAUAUGUCUGUGUCCUGGAGAGCAAGAAAUACCUGAAGUUAAUUUCGCCCAGAAAAGCUGAAAUUGUAAGAGAUGUCACAACGUCUGGUUCUCUCUCAUUGGCUCUGUAUUAGCAUGCAUGCAGAUGAAGAAGGGAUGCUCUAGCUUAGGGCCCAGUGCAGGCAUCCCUCAACCUCAGUACAAUGAUAAUGCAAAAUGGAAAGCCCUAAUCCACUGAUUCAGUUUCC